ACGAACGCUGGCGGCGUGCCUAAUACAUGCAAGUAGAACGCUGAAGGAGGAGCUUGCUUCUCUGGAUGAGUUGCGAACGGGUGAGUAACGCGUAGGUAACCUGCCUGGUAGCGGGGGAUAACUAUUAGAAACGAUAGCUAAUACCGCAUAAGAGUAGAUGUCGCAUGACAUUUGCUUAAAAGGUGCAAUUGCAUCACUACCAGAUGGACCUGCGUUGUAUUAGCUAGUUGGUGAGGUAACGGCUCACCAAGGCAACGAUACAUAGUCGACCUGAGAGGGUGAUCGGCCACACUGGGACUGAGACACGGCCCAGACUCCUACGGGAGGCAGCAGUAGGGAAUCUUCGGCAAUGGACGGAAGUCUGACCGAGCAACGCCGCGUGAGUGAAGAAGGUUUUCGGAUCGUAAAGCUCUGUUGUAAGAGAAGAACGAGUGUGAGAGUGGAAAGUUCACACUGUGACGGUAUCUUACCAGAAAGGGACGGCUAACUACGUG
rnacentral:rRNA from 1 species